rnacentral:rRNA from 1 species
UGGACAAACCGGAGGAAGUGGGGAUGACGUCAAGUCCUCAUGGCCCUUAUAGGUGGGGCUACACACGUCAUACAAUGGCCGGUACAGAGGGUAGCCAACCCGCGAGGGGGAGCCAAUCCCACAAAGCCGGUCGUAGUCCGGAUCGCAGUCUGCAACUCGACUGCGUGAAGUCGGAAUCGCUAGUAAUCGCGGAUCAGCAUGUCGCGGUGAAUACGUUCCCGGGUCUU